UUCCUGAUCCAUCCCUUUCCCGAUCCAUCCCUUUCCCCAUCCAUCCCUUUCCCAACCCAUCUCUUCUCUCCCAAUCCAUCCCUUCUCUCCCGACCCGUCCCUUUCCUGAUCCAUCCCUUUCCCGAUCCAUCCUCUUGUCAGCGCCUUGGGCAGCGAUCACUGGAGCCAAAUCCCCUCUUCCUGGGAUCUGAGCUUUCCCUGGAGUUUUCCUCCUGUUUUCUUCAGCAGGAGAGGCACCAACAAACCCUGCCAGGAGCUGCUGGCCCCAGGGAAGAGUUGGGAUGCUCCUCUGGAAUUCUGCAGCCAGGACUGAAACUCCAUCCACCAUGGGGUGGUGUAGUGAGACCUCGCUGGGAGGGAGCCCCUCGGCAGGAACACCAUCAGGAAACCUUUGGAAUCCCUAUUUUCCCAAGAUUUCCUCCUUGAAAUCCCUCCUGCAAUGCCUCGUUUGUCUCCUGCACGCCCAGGAAAGGGAGAAGCCGGGUGGAGCCUGGAGAAAUCGGGGCUGGAUCUGGCUGCGGGUCAGGGUGGGGAAUGUGCAGGGAGUUGUGGAAGAGGGGAGGCCAGAGGAAGAGAAAGGAACCAUCCGACCACGUGGUGGCAACGUGGAGAUGCUACAGAAGGAUUGCUGUGCUUCCCUGAAGGAAUUUUCACUUCACAGGAGACACCUGAAGUUAAUUCGUGGCUUUAAAGAGGACGUUAAAAGCAGGAAAUGUAAAUAUUUUCGGCUGUGUCACCUGAGCCUGUGGAUGCCCUCAGUGGCGUGGAGCAAACAAAUGGAAAAAGCAGGAUUGAUGGAUUGGCCCAUUCUGGAGGUGCUGCCGUCCCCAAGUGUCACAGGUGAGCUCUGUGCCUGUAUCCAGCAUCCACAGAGCUGCAUCCCCGUGGUCCUUGGAUGCAGGAGGAGGUGGGAGAAGCCCACAGGUAAAUAAUUUCCCAAGCUUUGGGCUGGAAUCAGCACACAGAAGG